UACGUAGGUGGCAAGCGUUGUCCGGAAUUAUUGGGCGUAAAGAGCUCGUAGGCGGUUUGUCGCGUCUGGUGUGAAAACCCAAGGCUCAACCUUGGGCUUGCAUCGGGUACGGGCAGACUAGAGUGCGGUAGGGGUGACUGGAAUUCCUGGUGUAGCGGUGGAAUGCGCAGAUAUCAGGAGGAACACCGAUGGCGAAGGCAGGUCACUGGGCCGCAACUGACGCUGAGGAGCGAAAGCAUGGGUAGCGAAC
rnacentral:rRNA from 1 species